rnacentral:rRNA from 1 species
UGAGUAACCUGCCCUUAACUCUGGGAUAAGCCUGGGAAACUGGGUCUAAUACCGGAUAUGACUCCUCAUCGCAUGGUGGGGGGUGGAAAGCUUUAUUGUGGUUUUGGAUGGACUCGCGGCCUAUCAGCUUGUUGGUGGGGUAGUGGCCUACCAAGGCGACGACGGGUAGCCGGCCUGAGAGGGUGACCGGCCACACUGGGACUGAGACACGGCCCAGACUCCUACGGAGGCGAG